AACGAUUUGCGCAGGAAUCGUGCUUUAGAAUAUAAUGGUGUAAAAUAUCAGGAACAUUCCCUUUCUUUACCGUACAUUGUGGGCAAAUAGCAAUGCCGUCGAAACACCAUUCCUGUUUUGUACUGGGCAAACAAAAUGGGCAUUUCAAUCCAUGACUGCUGGACCGCACAUGUCUUUGAAGAUGAUUAACAUAAACACAACAUUGUGGAGAAAAAUACAGGAAUCAAAAAUGGAAGUUUUUGAUAUACUUGAUAUAUACUUUAAAAAUUUCGAUACAUGCGUUGCCCUGAGAUAGUCUUCUUAGAAACAGGGCAAGUGAGGAAUGGAUGUGAGAAAUAUUUGCUACUGUCUUGGUUUUGCCAACUGUU